CAGAGUUCGUGCCCUCGCGGGUAGAUCUCCCACCCUGUGUUAUUAUACCUUUGUUGCUUUGGCGGGCCGCCCUCGGCUACCGGCCCCGGCUGGUACGCGCCCGCCAGAGGACCCCUAAACUCUGAAUAUUAGUGUUGUCUGAGUACUAUAUAAUAGUUA
rnacentral:misc_RNA from 1 species